rnacentral:rRNA from 1 species
UACGUAGGGUGCGAGCGUUGUCCGGAAUUAUUGGGCGUAAAGAGCUCGUAGGCGGUGUGUCGCGUCGGCCGUGAAAACCCGCAGCUCAACUGUGGGCUUGCAGCUGAUACGGGCAGGCUUGAGUUCGGUAGGGGAGACUGGAAUUCCUGGUGUAGCGGUGAAAUGCGCAGAUAUCAGGAGGAACACCGGUGGCGAAGGCGGGUCUCUGGGCCGAUACUGACGCUGAGGAGCGAAAGCGUGGGGAGCGAACAGG